UGAGGAAUAUUGGUCAAUGGGCGAGAGCCUGAACCAGCCAAGUCGCGUGAGGGAAGACGGUCCUACGGAUUGUAAACCUCUUUUGUCGGGGAGCAAUAAAGCGUACGCGUACGCAGAUGCGAGUACCCGAAGAAAAGCAUCGGCUAACUCCGUGCCAGCAGCCGCGGUAAUACGGAGGAUGCGAGCGUUAUCCGGAUUUAUUGGGUUUAAAGGGUGCGCAGGCGGAAAGUGCAAGUCAGCGGUCAAACGACGGGGCUCAACCCCGUCUCGCCGUUGAAACUGCCUUUCUAGAGUGAGCGAGAAGUAUGCGGAAUGCGUGGUGUAGCGGUGAAAUGCAUAGAUAUCACGCAGAACUCCGAUUGCGAAGGCAGCAUACCGGCGCUCAACUGACGCUCAUGCACGAAAGCGUGGGUAUCGAACAGGAUUAGAUACC
rnacentral:rRNA from 1 species